AAAAAUAAUCAACCUACGUAUUUUCCGAAAUCAAUCACGAUUAAAAAUUUAUUUUAGGAUUAACCUCACAGCAUGAUUUCCGUUAAAUCACAGACAAGGGGAUUUAUCUGAUAAAAAAUGCCGACAUAACGUCGGCAUUUUUAUUAAGG
rnacentral:sRNA from 1 species